rnacentral:rRNA from 1 species
AGAGUUUGAUCAUGGCUCAGGACGAACGCUGGCGGCGUGCCUAACACAUGCAAGUCGAACGAGUCCGGUCCUUCGGGACCGAGGCGAGUGGCGGACGGGUGAGUAACACGUGAGCAAUCUAUCCUGUUGCGGGGGACAACGAGGGGAAACCUUCGCUAAUACCGCAUGGUCAAGAGAGUCGAUGACUCUUUUGGGAAACGUGGCCUCUUUACAAUGCUACGGCGACGGGAGGAGCUCGCGGGCUAUCAGCUAGUUGGUGAGGUAACGGCUCACCAAGGCGACGACGGCUACGGGGUCUGAGAGGACGACCCCGCACAUUGGAACUGAGACACGGUCCAGACUCCUACGGGAGGCAGCAGUGGGGAAUAUUGGGCAAUGGCCGAAAGGCUGACCCAGCGACGCCGCGUGUGGGAGGAAGCCCUUCGGGGUGUAAACCACUGUCAGGAGGGACGAAAGAGCGGGGAGUGAAUAAUUCUCCGCAGUGACGGUACCUUCAAAGGAAGCACCGGCUAACUCUGUGCCAGCAGCCGCGGUAAUACAGAGGGUGCAAGCGUUGUUCGGAAUUACUGGGCGUAAAGCGCGCGCAGGCGGGUCCUGUAAGUCGGAAGUGAAAUUUCGGAGCUCAACUCCGAAGCUGCUUCUGAUACUGCGGAUCUAGGGACUGGUAGAGGCUGGUGGAAUUGCAGGUGUAGCGGUGGAAUGCGUAGAGAUCUGCAAGAACACCCGUGGCGAAGGCGGCCAGCUGGGCCAGGUCCGACGCUGAGGCGCGAAAGCGUGGGGAGCAAACAGGAUUAGAUACCCCAGUAGUCC